rfam:Triticum urartu cultivar G1812 contig1163384, whole genome shotgun sequence.
AAAGUACUCCCUCUGUCCCAAAAUUCUUGUCUUAGAUUUGUCUAGAUACGGAUGUAUCAAGUCACAUUUUAGUAUUAGAUACAUCCGUAUCUAGACAAAUCUAAGACAAAAAAUUAGGGACAGAGGGAGUAGUUG